rnacentral:rRNA from 1 species
UGGGGAAUUUUGGACAAUGGGCGCAAGCCUGAUCCAGCAAUGCCGCGUGAGUGAAGAAGGCCUUCGAGUUGUAAAGCUCUUUUGUCAGGGAAGAAACGGCCGAGGCUAAUACCUUUGGCUAAUGACGGUACCUGAAGAAUAAGCACCGGCUAACUACGUGCCAGCAGCCGCGGUAAUACGUAGGGUGCAAGCGUUAAUCGGAAUUACUGGGCGUAAAGCGUGCGCAGGCGGUUCGCUAAGACAGAUGUGAAAUCCCCGGGCUUAACCUGGGAACUGCAUUUGUGACUGGCGGGCUAGAGUAUGGCAGAGGGGGGUAGAAUUCCACGUGUAGCAGUGAAAUGCGUAGAGAUGUGGAGGAAUACCGAUGGCGAAGGCAGCCCCCUGGGCCAAUACUGACGCUCAUGCACGAAAGCGUGGGGAGCAAAC